rnacentral:rRNA from 1 species
UACGUAGGGGGCAAGCGUUGUCCGGAAUCAUUGGGCGUAAAGCGCGUGUAGGCGGCUUGAUAAGUCUGCUCUGAAAGCCCGGGGCUCAACCCUGGGAGGCGGGUGGAUACUGUCGAGCUCGAGUCCGGAAGAGGCGAGUGGAAUUCCUGGUGUAGCGGUGAAAUGCGCAGAUAUCAGGAGGAACACCAAUAGCGAAGGCAGCUCGCUGGGACGGUAUUGACGCUAAGGCGCGAAAGCGUGGGGAGCAAACAGG